rnacentral:rRNA from 1 species
GAUGAACGCUGGCGGCAGGCUUAACACAUGCAAGUCGAGCGGAAACGAAGAGGAGCUUGCUCCUUUGGCGUCGAGCGGCGGACGGGUGAGUAACGCGUGAGAAUCUGGCUGUGGGUCGGGACAACCACUGGAAACGGUGGCUAAUACCGGAUGAGCCGAAGGUAAAGAUUUAUUGCCACAGAUGAGCUCGCGUCUGAUUAGCUAGUUGGUAAGGUAAAGCGUACCAAGGCGACGAUCAGUAGCUGGUCUGAGAGGAUGAGCAGCCACACUGGGACUGAGACACGGCCCAGACUCCUACGGGAGGCAGCAGUGGGGAAUUUCCGCAAUGGGCGAAAGCCUGACGGAGCAAGACCGC